rnacentral:rRNA from 2 species
ACUGGUGAGUAACACGUGGGAAACCUGCCCAGGAAGCGGGGGAUAACACCUGGAAACAUAUGCUAAUACCGCAUAACAACUUGGACCGCAUGGUCCGAGUUUGAAAGAUGGCUUCGGCUAUCACUUUUGGAUGGUCCCGCGGCGUAUUAACUACAUGGUGGGGUAACGGCUCACCAUAGGCAAUGAUACGUACCCGACCUGAGAGGGUAAUCGGCCACAUUGGGACUGAGACACGGCCCAAAACUCCUACGGGAGGCAGCAGUAGGGAAUCUUCCACAAUGGACGAAAGUCUGAUGGAGCAACGCCGCGUGAGUGAAGAAGAGGUUUCGGCUCGUAAAACUCUGUUGUUAAAGAAGAACAUAUCUGAGAGUAACUGUUCAGGUAUUGACGGUAUUUAACCGAGAAAGCCACGGACUAACUACGUGCCAGCAGCCGCGGUAAUACGUAGGUGGCAAGCGUUGUCCGGAUUUAUUGGGCGUAAAGCGAGCGCAGGCGGUUUUUUAAGGUCUGAUGUGAAAGCCUUCGGCUCAACCGAAGAAGUGCAUCGGAAACUGGGAAACUUGAGUGCAGAAGAGGGACAGUGGAACUCCAUGUGUAGCGGUGAAAUGCGUAUAUAUAUGGAASAACACCAGUGGCGAAGGCGGCUGUCUGGUUCUGUAACUGACGCUGAGGCUCGAAAGUGAUGGGUAGCAAACAGGAUUAGAUACCCUGGUAGUCCAUACCGUAAACGCAAUGAAUGCUAAGUGUUGGAGGGCGGUUUCCGCCCUUCAGUGCUGCAGCUAACGCAUUAAGCAUUCCGCCUGGGGAGUACGGCUCGCAAGGCUGAAACUCAAAGGAAUUGACGGGGGCCCGCACAAGCGGUGGAGCAUGUGGUUUAAUUCGAAGCUACGCGAAGAACCUUACCAGGUCUUGACAUACUUAUGCAAAUCUAAGAGGAUUAGACGUUGGCCCUUCGGGGACAUGGAUACAGAGUUGGUGCAUGGUUGUCGUCAGCUCGUGUCGUGAGAUGUUGGGUUAAGUCCCGCAACGAGCGCAACCCUUAUUAUCAGUUGCCAGCAUUAAGUUGGGCACUCUGGUGAGACUGCCGGUGACAAACCGGAGGAAGGUGGGGAUGACGUCAAAUCAUCAUGCCCCUUAUGACCUGGGCUACACACGUGACUACAAUGGAUGGUACAACGAGUUGCGAACUCGCGAGAGUAAGCUAAUCUCUUAAAGCCAUUCUCAGUUCGGAUUGUAGGCUGCAACUCGCCUACAUGAAGUCGGAAUCGCUAGUAAUCGCGGAUCAGCAUGCCGCGGUGAAUACGUUCCCGGGCCUUGUACACACCGCCCGUCACACCAUGAGAGUUUGUAACACCCAAAGUCGGUGGGGUAACCUUU